UGGAGUUAGAAUAUCCAAUCAGGGACAAGAUAACAAGUUUAUAAUAAAUGUCUUAAAAACAAGGAUUAAAAAAAAAUACGGCACAUAAUUUAUAGAUGUGUACCAAUCAUUGACUAUCAAAACACAGAUCUCUUCUUUGUAAUAUAAAAAGGGAACAUCAUACAGAUUGCUAGAAAUUACCUUUGAGAAACAGACAAGAA
rnacentral:sRNA from 1 species